ACGGAGGUCACACCCGUUCCCAUACCGAACACGGAAGUUAAGCUCUUCAGCGCCGAUGGUAGUCGGGGGUUUCCCCCUGUGAGAGUAGGACGCCGCCA
rnacentral:rRNA from 1 species